CAAUAGCGUAUAUUAAAGUUGUUGCAGUUAAAAAGCUCGUAGUUGGAUUUCUGGUGGGAGCGAUCGGUCUGGCGCUUAGCGCGAGUACUUGCAUCGUCUCCGGCCAUCCUUGGGGAGAGUCUGUCUGGCAUUAGGUUGUCGGGCAGAGGAUCCUCAUCGUUUACUGUGAAAAAAUUAGAGUGUUCAAAGCAGGCUUAUGCCGUUGAAUAUAUUAGCAUGGAAUAAUAAGAUAGGACUUUGGUACUAUUUUGUUGGUUUGCGCACCAAAGUAAUGAUUAAUAGGGACAGUUGGGGGUAUUCGUAUUCCGUUGUCAGAGGUGAAAUUCUUGGAUUUACGGAAGACGAACUACUUCGAAAGCAUUUACCAAGGAUGUUUUCAUUAA
rnacentral:rRNA from 1 species